UACGUAGGUGGCAAGCGUUAUCCGGAAUUAUUGGGCGUAAAGCGCUCGCAGGCGGUUUCUUAAGUCUGAUGUGAAAGCCCACGGCUCAACCGUGGAGGGUCAUUGGAAACUGGGAGACUUGAGUGCAGAAGAGGAGAGUGGAAUUCCACGUGUAGCGGUGAAAUGCGUAGAUAUCGGGAGGAACACCAGUGGCGAAGGCGGCUACCUGGCACAUAACUGACGCUGAUACGCGAAAGCGUGGGGAGCGAACCGG
rnacentral:rRNA from 1 species